rnacentral:misc_RNA from 1 species
UGUGGGAGCGAGCUUGCUCGCGAUAGCGGAGUGUCAGUCAAGAUUGUUUUGCUGACCCACCGCUAUCGCGAGCAAGCUCGCUCCCACA